rnacentral:rRNA from 1 species
ACUGCUCAGUAACACGUGGACAACCUGCCCUUAGGUUGGGUAUAAACCCGGGAAACUGGGUAUAAUACCCGAUAGGUCUCGAUUGCUGGAAUGCAUCGAGAUUUAAAGCUCCGGCGCCUAAGGAUGGGUCUGCGGCCUAUCAGGUAGUAGUGGGUGUAGCGUACCUACUAGCCUACGACGGGUACGGGUUGUGAGAGCAAGAGCCCGGAGAUGGAUUCUGAGACACGAAUCCAGGCCCUACGGGGUGCAGCAGGCGCGAAAGCUUUACAAUGCUGGCAACAGCGAUAAGGGAACCUCGAGUGCCAGGUUACAAAUCUGGCUGUCGAGAUGCCUAAAAAGCAUUUCAUAGCAAGGGCCGGGCAAGACCGGUGCCUGCCGCCGCGGUAACACCGGCGGCUCGAGUGGUAACCGUUAUUAUUGGGUCUAAAGGGUCUGUAGCCGGCCGGAUAAGUCUCUUGAGAAAUCUGGCAGCUUAACUGUCAGGCUUUCAGGAGAUACUGUCUGGCUCGAGGCCGGGAGAGGUGAGAGGUACUUCAGGGGUAGGGGUGAAAUCUUGUAAUCCUUGAAGGACCACCAGUGGCGAAGGCGUCUCACCAGAACGGACCUGACGGCAAGGGACGAAAGCUAGGGGCACGAACCGGAUUAGAUACCCGGGUAGUCCUAGCCGUAAACGAUACUCGCUAGGUGUCGGCCACGGUGCGACCGUUGUCGGUGCCGUAGGGAAGCCGUGAAGCGAGCCACCUGGGAAGUACGGCCGCAAGGCUGAAACUUAAAGGAAUUGGCGGGGGAGCAC